GGAAAUGUUUGUUUUCUCCUCCGUCAUGAUUUCUUCUGUCGAGGUAAAUACCGAACUUCAGGCCGGUGACGAAGAAAAUAGAAGCUAGACAAAAGUAGCCGAAGACGGACCUUCAACCAAAGUCGGCUGUAAACGGAAAAUUCCCUUGUGGUUCCUUGGACCAUUGCCUUCGUGUUGCCCAACAACCCAACCUCCUCAAGCAAACUCUCAUGGACAAAUCUUCUGGUUUUCUUCAUCCACUGCUGGCAAUGAACUGCUCCUCUUCAUCCACUGCCUGUGAGUCUACCUGUCCGCCCUCCAAUGCAAGCCAAGACAUUCUGUCAGCUCUCAGCUCCCUCUUUAGGACCAACCUAACCCCAGUCCCUACAGUAAUUCCUCCCCUGGUGGAUUUUUUUUCAUUAAUCCAGUAAGCUACCCAAUCUGUCAUUAGAUUCCCAAUACGGCGUACAUACAGUAUCUCGCCUCUGCUUUCAUCUCUCCCUAGUGUCCCGGCAAGAACCCCUCUUUCUGUCAUUUUUGUCACUUGUACAAUAAAUCACCCUAUCUGAUUUCCAAGUUUCCCUGGUGUGUUCUGUCAUGUUGGAGGCAUCUUGCCUCCAACAUGACGGGUUAUUUCCAUAAUAGGAUUUCUAUAAACUUCCCUCCAGUUAGUGUGUAUUGUUUCUCACAAAUGACUCAUCCUCAUCAUGGGUAAUGCAUUCUUGAAUGGUUCUUGAGUUACUGACAGCUUGGAUGUUAAAAAAUGAGUGUUAAAAAAGUAAUGAGUUGAAUAAUGGGAAACCCUUUUCAAGGGACCAGAUGCAUGGGUGCAACAUUUCCUUUCCCUUGCAAGAUAUUUGCAUUCAAAUAACAUAACACCAAUGGGUUACUGUGGUGGACAGAAGAAACAAUCCAACUUUGUGUCUCAGUCAAAGCUUUGAUGCAGUCAUUGGUGUGGUGCCCCAUAUGCCAUUUUCCUUACUGGAAAAUUGCAUAGCACUACCUUGUGACAGCAUUCCCUACUUCCUGUAAGAAAAAAGUACCUAUAUUCAAAAAGGCUGGUUGGGAGGAAGACCUACAAAGCACAGGAUCCACUGCCUUGCAGAAGUGUCCCUAGCCCUGGGACUUUUUUAUAUUUUGUGAUGGGAGGCAGUCUGUCUUUCAAAUGACUUGGGAGGGGGGGUAAAAAAAGAAUAAUGUUACAACCUUGCUGCAGGGACUUUCUGAAGACAAAUGCAAGGUACCGCAUGCUUAUACAAUAGAAGAAAAAUUACUCGUAAUCAGAAACUCUCCAGGGUUUUGGUUUCUUAUGUUGCUUAGAGAUGGUAAAUAUUUCCAAACAUUUGACACAGGUGUUCCACGGAGAGAAACAUUAGAGCGUCUUGUUUUCAAAUGUUAAUAUCCAAAAAGAAAAAGGUCAAAUGAACAAAUAUGGCACGAAAAACUGAAACGACAUAAAAAAAAGUUUGUCAAUUUUCUGAUACCUAAAGACUACUUUAUCCUUAGUUUUCCCAAUAUUUUUGUUAAAUGAUUGAAAUGACUGGUAAAACUUUUUCUUUUUUUCUUUUCUCUUUCUAAUUUCCUUGACAUUUUCUCAAACUCUGUAGUGUAUAAGUGUAUGACUGUGUGUUGAGAUGAAUAGUCAUAAUGGUGACAAAUAUAGUUACGGUUUAAAAAUCACCUUUCGUCAAAGCGUAGACAAGUGCAAAACCAUGACUUAGACUGCAGCUUAGUCAUUUAAUUUGGUAAGAGGACAUUUAUCUGUAUGAAGCUGUUUGGUUAAUCAUUACUUGUUAGUGAGAUCAACACUAUGAUUCACUUAUUGUCAUAACACUCUGCAGUACAGACCCUAUUGAAGAGAAUGAUGUCAGCAUAAGUUUCACAAUGUGGUUGUGCAGAAAAUGAAUGGUUUGGCAUUAGCCUGUUUGUGGGCUGUGUCUCUUUUCACUUUUUAUGCUCUGUCACAGGCUCCAAAUUCCCACAGGACUGACACACAAGCCCUGAAGUGAAGGAAAAAAACAGAUGGAUGGAGUAAUCCAUAAUUGGAUUCACUGCCUAAUGGCUUUCAUUAGGCAUAUGCUGUACAGCCAGGAAGACUAAAGAAUCUAUUGCUGAGAUGUUAGUUUUGGGAAAAGUAACAAUAGUUUGUGAUAAACCUCAAAGAUCAAAUCCCAUCCAUUAUUGAAUUACAUUCUUCCCACUGGGUUGCUGUUUAAAA